AAAUUGAAGAGUUUGAUCAUGGCUCAGAUUGAACGCUGGCGGCAGGCCUAACACAUGCAAGUCGAACGGUAACAGGAAGCAGCUUGCUGCUUUGCUGACGAGUGGCGGACGGGUGAGUAAUGUCUGGGAAACUGCCUGAUGGAGGGGGAUAACUACUGGAAACGGUAGCUAAUACCGCAUAACGUCGCAAGACCAAAGAGGGGGACCUUCGGGCCUCUUGCCAUCGGAUGUGCCCAGAUGGGAUUAGCUUGUUGGUGGGGUA
rnacentral:rRNA from 1 species